rnacentral:tRNA from 1 species
GCGGGUAUAGCUCAGCUGGUAGAGCGAAGGUCUCCAAAACCUUAGGCCGCGGGUUCGAAUCCUGCUGCCCGCG